AACGAACGCUGGCGGCGCGCCUAACACAUGCAAGUCGAACGGAGAUAAGGGGCUUGCUCCUUAUUUUAGUGGCGCACGGGUGAGUAACGCGUGGAUAAUCUGCCUGAUGCUCUGGGAUAACAUCUCGAAAGGGGUGCUAAUACCGGAUAAGCCCACGGGGUCUUCGGAUCUUGCGGGAAAAGGAGGGGACUUUCGGGCCUUCCGACAUCAGAUGAGUCCGCGUCCCAUUAGCUAGUUGGUGGGGUAAAGGCCUACCAAGGCGACGAUGGGUAGCUGGUCUGAGAGGAUGAUCAGCCACACUGGAACUGAGACACGGUCCAGACUCCUACGGGAGGCAGCAGUGGGGAAUUUUGCGCAAUGGGGGAAACCCUGACGCAGCAACGCCGCGUGAGUGAUGAAGGCCUUCGGGUCGUAAAGCUCUGUCAGAGGGAAAGAAUUGUGGGUGGCUAAUAUCCAUUCCACUUGACGGUACCCUCAGAGGAAGCACCGGCUAACUCCGUGCCAGCCGCCGCAGUAAUAC
rnacentral:rRNA from 1 species